CUGCUUGCCGAAGGAGCACAUGUGUGUGCUCGUCUAUCUGGUGACUGUGAUGCAUUCGAUGCAAGCUGGCUACAUGGACAAAGCA